rnacentral:rRNA from 1 species
UACGUAGGGUGCAAGCGUUAAUCGGAAUUACUGGGCGUAAAGCGUGCGCAGGCGGUUAUGCAAGACAGAUGUGAAAUCCCCGGGCUCAACCCGGGAACUGCAUUUGUGACUGUAUAGCUAGAGUACGGUAGAGGGGGAUGGAAUUCCGCGUGUAGCAGUGAAAUGCGUAGAUAUGCGGAGGAACACCGAUGGCGAAGGCAAUCCCCUGGACCUGUACUGACGCUCAUGCACGAAAGCGUGGGGAGCAAACAGG